UGGGGAAUUUUGGACAAUGGGCGAAAGCCUGAUCCAGCAAUGCCGCGUGUGUGAAGAAGGCCUUCGGGUUGUAAAGCACUUUUGUCCGGAAAGAAAUCCUUGGCUCUAAUACAGUCGGGGGAUGACGGUACCGGAAGAAUAAGCACCGGCUAACUACGUGCCAGCAGCCGCGGUAAUACGUAGGGUGCAAGCGUUAAUCGGAAUUACUGGGCGUAAAGCGUGCGCAGGCGGUUUGCUAAGACCGAUGUGAAAUCCCCGGGCUCAACCUGGGAACUGCAUUGGUGACUGGCAGGCUAGAGUAUGGCAGAGGGGGGUAGAAUUCCACGUGUAGCAGUGAAAUGCGUAGAGAUGUGGAGGAAUACCGAUGGCGAAGGCAGCCCCCUGGCCAAGUACUGACGCUCAUGCACGAAAAGCGUGGGGGAGCAAAACAGGAUUAGAUACCCUGGUAGUCCACGCCCUAAAACGAUGUCAACUAGUUGUUGGGGGAUUCAUUUCCUUAGUAACGUAGCUAACGCGUGAAGUUGACCGCCUGGGGAGUACGGUCGCAAGAUUAAAACUCAAAUGAAUUGACGGGGUCAUAGCUGUUUCCU
rnacentral:rRNA from 1 species